AUGAAUAAAUACAAACGCAGAGGGGCGAGAGGCGCGCAGCGAGCUGAGAGCGGGGGGAGACAAGCGAGAAGAAAAGAAGGCGACGGAGUAGAGGGGCGAUCAAGGCAAACUCGCAGCCCCGCUGGAGGGAUCGGGAGGAAAAAAGGGAAGCGCAAGAUGGAGAGAAGCGUGCGUGUGUGUGUGCGGUGGCGGCGGCGGCGGGGGCGGGGGAAGGGGUGCCAAGCUGGGUCUCGGGCGGCGGCGGCGGGCCGGUCACCCGGGCAGAGGGCGGUGCGCGCCCGGCCGGGCGGCGGCACGCUGCGCAGUCACCGCGAGGGGCGCGCCGCGGCCGCGGGGAGACAUACACCGGCCCGCCGGGCCCGGCUCAGCGGCGGCGGCGCGGGCUGCGCACGGCUCCGCCGCCGCCCGGGGCCCUGGGCACCGCGCCCCGCUUCGCUCCAAGUUACUUUGGCAGCCUUUGGGGGGGCGGGGGGCGGCAAUUGCAGGAGGGGAGCUCCGUGCGGAUUGCGCGGGGGCGGAGGGGGGGCUUCGCGCCUUUGGUCCCAGGCAGUCGGAGGACCCCCCGUUUCCCCCGCCUCCUCGGUGCUUUCGAGCCGGGUGAGCCCUGGAAAUCUCGGAGGAGUCCCAGGCGCGGUGGGCGCGGGGCGGUACGCCGAGAAGGGCGGGAUCUGGAGUCACGGAGCGGCCAGCCCCGCCGGCGUCCUGGAGCUGGGGGAGCGGCCGCGGAGCUCUGGAGGAGACGUUUUGCUUCGCAAACCUCCAAGAAAAGUUUGGCUCCCCCGUGUCUUCGGGCGGGUCCCCCACCCCUCCUCCGGCGGAGUCCGUCUGCGGCGGCGGUGGGAGGCGACACCCGGCCGCGGGCUGAGUCCCGGGGACCCCUCGCGCGUGCCUUCUUCGGCCGGGAGCGGGUGCACCGGGGCGCGCGGAGAGCAGAGGUUACGCACCAGCCAGCCGGGCGGAGCUGGGAUGCCGAGACCCGCGGGGCUAUGCCAACCCAGCUGUGAGGCUCGGGGGCGGGAGGGCAAACGACCCCUCGCAGAUGAACCCCUCCAACUCCCGAACGGGCCGAUGUCAAGUCUCCGAUCGCCUUCCGGGAGCCAGACCGAGCCCCCCAGCUGCGGGGCCGAGAGCGCUGGGGGGAGCUCUCAGAAGUGUCCCUGCGACUCCGACCGGUUCCACCCCAAGCCCGGCAACUUGUAG
ensembl:lncRNA